CUUGCCUGGUGAUCCAGCUGGUGACGGCUCUGAUACCUGAAUCAUGGCUGGUACCAAGCACUCCCAGCUUUCAGGCACCUGUGCAGCUGAGUGGAGAGAAGGGCACAGCCUUCCUCAGGCUGGCAGUGCCUGGUGCAGUUCUGGCCAGAAACAGGGUGACACCUUGCUCGUCAUGUCACUUGCUCUGCUGCCCAUGUAGAGAGGAAAACAUCAGAAGUGCUGUUCACAAGUUGCCUGGAGUCAGGUUACCUCUGGUAACAGUGUAUGCAAGAUAGAGAGACGAGAAACCCAUUCAAGCAUCUCAUGACAUUACCCUUAAAUUAUUGUUCCCGUUUUCAAGAGAAAGAGGAAUGUGUUUAACAUUUCCUUUCAUUUUGUUCUGCUUUUAAGUAUCCUUAACACUG